ACAUACAAGAACUGUUUUUCGAAGCUCUGGUAAAGCUACAUCGGAAACUAAGGGAGGCGACGAUAGCUCACAAUCAGCCUGAUUCAAGAUCGAUGGACCACAUCUCAAGAUUCGGUAACAAUGGCGGUUGAACACCGCGCGAAAUUAAGUCUGCGGGAUUCGAUUUGAAAGGAAUGCAACGCCAAAUGUACUCAUCAGUCAGAGAUUGAAUCAACUUCACGCGGCUAGCAACAAAAACCUGUAAUGCUCCCGGAGAUUUCUGUAUCCAGCACAGGACGAUUUGUGAAUCGCUCCAGAGAAUAAUGGAGGAAAACUUCACUUCCAGCGCUUCAACUAUUUUUGCAACUAAGCGGGACAACAUUAAUGCUGCCUGCAACUCCGCUGCCGGUGUUCUUGGCCGUCAUUCAUAAUUGAACGUGCGUAGAGGCAAGCACCGUAUGCCAGAUCAGACGCGUCUGCGAAACCGUGCAGCUCUAAAUUCAAAGGUUUUCCACUCAGUACACAACGUGGUAUCUUGAUGCCUUCAACAUGUUCCAGUUGAUCACGAAACUCUAACCAGAAGCUCGCGAGUGCGUGUGGAAGCACUUCAUCCCAUUUUAAGGGAAGCAUCCAAACUUCCCGCAUCACUAGUUUCGCCGUCGUCAAAACUGGACCUAAAAAGCCGAGUGGAUCAAAAAUCCUCGAAAUUUCGCUAAGCAAAAUUCUUUUAGUUAACUGCGAUGGCUGCGACACCUGCAUCUUGGGCAAAGAAAUCGUAAAGUUGUCGGUCGUUGGCUCCCAAGCGAUUCCCAACGUACCACUUGCAGUACAGCAGAAGAAUUCGAGCACACCUUAUGAACAUCGAAUCCACCACUAUGCAGCAUAUCCCUAACCUGCUGCAAUAGUUCGAUUGCUUCUUCUUCCGAAUCAGCCCCUGAAAGCAUAUCGUCGAUGUAGAAAAAAUUUUUUACUGCCUUUGCCGCC